AACAGGAUUAGAUACCCUGGUAGUCCACGCCGUAAACGAUGCCGACUUGGAGGUUGUGCCCUUGAGGCGUGGCUUCCGGAGCUAACGCGUUAAGUCGACCGCCUGGGGAGUACGGCCGCAAGGUUAAAACUCAAAUGAAUUGACGGGGGCCCGCACAAGCGGUGGAGCAUGUGGUUUAAUUCGAUGCAACGCGAAGAACCUUACCUACUCUUGACAUCCAGAGAACUUUCCAGAGAUGGAUUGGUGCCUUCGGGAACUCUGAGACAGGUGCCGCAUGGCUGUCGUCAGCUCGUGUUGUGAAAUGUUGGGUUAAGUCCCGCAACGAGCGCAACCCUUAUCCUUUGUUGCCAGCGGUUAGGCCGGGAACUCAAAGGAGACUGCCAGUGAUAAACUGGAGGAAGGUGGGGAUGACGUCAAGUCAUCAUGGCCCUUACGAGUAGGGCUACACACGUGCUACAAUGGCGCAUACAAAGAGAAGCGACCUCGCGAGAGCAAGCGGACCUCAUAAAGUGCGUCGUAGUCCGGAUUGGAGUCUGCAACUCGACUCCAUGAAGUCGGAAUCGCUAGUAAUCGUGGAUCAGAAUGCCACGGUGAAUACGUUCCCGGGCCUUGUACACACCGCCCGUCACACCAUGGGAGUGGGUUGCAAAAGAAGUAGGUAGCUUAACCUUCGGGAGGGCGCUUACCACUUUGUGAUUCAUGACUGGGGUGAAGUCGUAACAAGGUAACC
rnacentral:rRNA from 1 species